AAACUAACCGUUAACUAUUAAAUCCCUGUGUUGAAACGCUAGCCUUAGACGUCACGAAGCUUCCCACAAAAUAUCGUUCCGAUCGGAAAACAGACGAGACCACGAUCCCAGUUUCAAUCCAUGCUGGUCCUAAUUCGCGUCUGAGAAAACGUGUCUCACUAAACAGCAAAUAACUCAACCAAUAUUUAUCCAAAUCCAGUUCUGUAAACUGGAGAAUAACGAUAAACGACUUGGGAAUAACUCUACCAAAUUUCGUUACUUUUUACCACGAUUUGAUAUGACGAAACUGAAUUCUUCCAAACCAUAACGAUUCUGCUCCUUCUCUUUCUCUAUCUUUUUCUCCUUUAUAAAACGAAAAGUGGCUAACUAAAUCCCUAAGUUCGAGUUUUCCUUCUUUUAUAGGCACACUCUAGGGUUUCCAAUUAACCCAACCAAUUUAACCGGAUGAUUUAAAAACAAACUCUAACCGAUUUUCCGGUUCACGGGCGUUACACCUAGCAAAGGGCAAUCUACUAAACCAUAUGAAUCCCUAAUGAGAAACUCUAUUCCUAACAAGCAGACUUCUCAGACAUAUUGGAUGAAGCAAACAACAUGAUUAAGUGUGAAAGCAUAAACACAGUAAAUAGAGAAGGGGAAAUAAGGGAUCUCUUCAUUGUAUUAAAAAUUGGAAUGAAUCUCUCAAGAACAAUGGAUGAAUAGCUUAUGUCUCUCACAAUAGGGUUUGAAAAGAACUUGAUAAAAGAAACUUAAGUCUAAAAACAAUAUGUAUAGACCCUAAAAACGUCCAGUGACUAAUAAUGCAAAUAGGGAAGUCUCCUGGGGCAAACUUGACCUUCUGUAAACUCGAUAGCGUCUAGGGUUUUUGCUGGACCGAAACUGGUGUCGAUCGACACCAUGAGUGUGUCGAUCGACACUCCUCGCUGAUUCCUGGACCAAAAUCGUCCUUAGCUUCAUUUUCCUUAGCUUUUGCUCCAAAAUGUCUCCUUAUCUCCAUUGUUGUCCCACUGCAUAGAAUACCUGAAAAGACACUAAAAAGACUCGAGAAAUAACAUAAAAACUCAAAAUCCUAUACCUAAAACAUAGAUAAAAUCGGUGAAAAUCGGGUUAUAUCAACUCCCCCAGACUUAGCUUUUGCUUACCCUCAAGCAAAACAGAAAAGCCGAAUCCGUGGAAGAGGUUUUGAAAACAAAGGAACUCCCAACAUGUACUUCUCUACAAGCUUACACAAUAUUCUAGAUUCCAUACCUAAGUUCCACAACUAUACCCACCAGGCUUUCAUCGUCGGGUCUCAUCAAACAAGCCAACAUUCAAGAUCCUUCUAGACUCAUUCAUGUACUAUACCAUGAUAAAUUGACCAUUCUUUAUAUUUUUUUUUUCUUUUUCGGUGUUCUUUCUCUCCCCCAGACUUAUUCUUUUUAGAGAGUAAGCAAAGGGGAACUCGCAUACUGGAUCAACACCCUCGGCAUUUUCCAACCUUUGUAAUUGAUCAUUCCAAAUAAUGUAUAAUAAUGGGGUCAUAGAAAACAUUCCUACCCCUAUACACUAUCUCAAAGUUGUCUCAAUCUCUCAUUAUUACUAUU
rnacentral:sRNA from 1 species